UUGUUCUCACAAGGGUCGCCGGAGUGCUGGAGACUAUCCCAGCUACCUUCGGGCAGAAUUUGUGUUAAAUAAACACUUAGCAUAAAAUAAGAUAAACGCUUGUUUUACAUCUUUCAAUGUCCAAUUUUCAAACAGGACAGCCACUAUUAGUUGAGCAAACCUUGAGUGUCCAAAGACUACCGUGACUUUUUUUAAUGGACAGAUGUGCCAGAUCAUUUGCAGAUCAGUUUUCUUAUCCUCACAAGGAUCCACUCCAUGCUGUGUCUCCCACUGGUCACUGCCAAAUCAUGGUUAAAAGUGAUUCUCACAUGUACAAGGAACUUCAGCAGUGGUCUAAUUUUUCUGGUCAAGUGUUACUGUGAUGGGCGGCGGACCCAAAAGUUGACCGGGAUUGGUCCGCAGAAAGGUAUAACGGGGACAGGAAUCUCCCUUCUUACUCCAGAAUAUGCUUUCCGAGGAAGAAGUAACAACUGGCUCUCUCCUCAUGACUUCUGCUUUUCAGGGUUCCAAGAAGGGAGGUAGGAGAGGUCAGGUCAAAGAAAAAAAUAUUCAACUUUGUGACGCCAGCCUCACAACUUAACGCCCGUAACACAGGCAUGGAAAGAACAUGCAAACUCCACACAGGUUGGGGCAGGAUUUGAACCCCAUUCCUCAGACCUGUGAGGCCAACGAGUGACUAAGUGUAAUCAAAUUAUAGGGUCAUUAGGAUGUCUGGAUGUGUAUCUGUAAUGGGAUGUAUCACAUAAGACUCCAGUGUUGUGUAAGGAUGCAGCAAGUAAUAUUUAUCAGCUGUCUGUUGUCGUAGUAGAACAGCUAACAGAGGUAAAUUCCUUCCUUGUUU